UGGGGAAUUUUGGACAAUGGGGGAAACCCUGAUCCAGCCAUCCCGCGUGUGCGAUGAAGGCCUUCGGGUUGUAAAGCACUUUGGCAGGAAAGAAACGUCGCGGGUUAAUACCCCGCGAAACUGACGGUACCUGCAGAAUAAGCACCGGCUAACUACGUGCCAGCAGCCGCGGUAAUACGUAGGGUGCAAGCGUNCAGUACUGGAAUUCACGGCUGGGCGAUGAAAGCGUGCCGCGAGGGUCGGUUCAGGAAAGAAGAUGUGAAAUCCCAGAGCUUAACUUUGGAACUGCAUUUUUAACUACCGGGCUAGAGUGUGUCAGAGGGAGGUGGAAUUCCGCGUGUAGCAGUGAAAUGCGUAGAUAUGCGGAGGAACACCGAUGGCGAAGGCAGCCUCCUGGGAUAACACUGACGCUCAUGCACGAAAAGCGUGGGGANGCAAACAGGAUUAGAUACCCUGGUAGUCCACGCCCUAAACGAUGUCAACUAGCUGUUGGGGCCUUCGGGCCUUGGUAGCGCAGCUAACGCGUGAAGUUGACCGCCUGGGGAGUACGGUCGCAAGAUUAAAACUUAAAUGAAUUGACGGGGGUCAUAGCUGUUUCCUG
rnacentral:rRNA from 1 species